UUUAAUGUUUUUUUUUCAAUGGUAAAACAAUAGUGGAGUAUUAACAAGAGGACAAAAUGCUAAGAAGAUAAAAUGUGGGGGGAAAACAUGUUAUCAUAUCCAAAAUAUUUUCAUCCUCAUAAACAAUGAAUAAAAAACAAUAAACAAUAAAUGAAUGAUAAAAUAAUAAUAAUAAAAAAACAAUAUAAAAAUCCCCAGGGCUCAUGUUUUAUCAGCUUAUGGGGCUUAAAUUACAUUUGGAUUUGAAGAUCUGAACAGUAUAUUACUAUCGAAGUAAUUACAGAGAAAAUAACACAGAGGAGACUGCAGACCUCCCAGGUUUCCUCUGACCUACUGGACACUGAUCUCUAUGUAGCAUAUUCAUCUCCACAGCAAAAAUAAUCUUCAAAUAAAAUAUAAUACAUUCACAUAAUCCUGGUGUCAAAUCUACAGUUUUACUUAGACAUAUUUUGUGUGUGAGCUUGUACGUGUGUGUUCCAGAUGCAACUACAUCCUUUAAUCCAGAGGAAGAUAUUGGAGGGAUAUGUGCUUUAGUUAUGAACAAAACAGGAAAUAUAAUAACAAUCGUAGACAGGCUGACCCUUACACAAUGUUAGAUGAUCCUGAGUGACAUUUAAUAUCCAUUUUUUCUGGCCACAUCAUUUUUCCAGGGCACCAAUGUAAUGAUAUAAUACAUGCAAAAGUGCGGAUGUGAUCAAACUAAUACAUAAACAAGUGUCAUUACAGCACAAGAUGGCAGUAUAGCCAACCAUUACCUGCAACGUUUCACCGCUAUUCUAAAUAGAAAUGGCAGCCUGCGUCCUGAGACAAGGAUUAUUUUUCACCUUUAAUAAAUACAGUAAAAAGCACACUUUACGGACAAUAUCUUUGGAUUUCAACAGUAGACAUAAUGCUAACAGACGUCGCGUGCAAUGUUUAAGAUGUGGUCUUCUCAGUGCAGUACAACAGAUACGGUCCAUGUCCUCUCGUAACAGGCCCGAGAGCAAGGUACUGGAAACAGUUGGAGUAUUUGAAGCACCAAAACAGCAUGGCAAAUAUGAGACUGGGCAGUUAUUCUUGCACAGUGUCUUUGGCUACAGAGGUAUAGUUCUUUUCCUCUGGCAUGCUCGACUCUAUGACAGAGAUGUCACACCACCACCUGCAGAAAUUAAAUGUGACCCUUCAGGAGCUCAAGAGUCAAAGGAGGUGAAAGGCAAAACCCACACAUACUAUCAGGUCCUCAUAGACACCAGAGACUGUCCAGUCUAUAGUCUGGACUAUGUAAGCCAUGAAGACAUUUUUCCUUAUAACUCAACGGACCAAAUGCCAAUUCAGCAUGAACUGUUUGAGAGAUUCCUCAAGUUCAACCCAUCCACAGUGCCACCAUUUAUACCCAGAGACACAGUUCUUGCAUGGCAGGAAAAAAAACACCCAUGGCUGGAGCUGUCUGAUGUUUACCGCGAGACCACGGAAAACAUUCGAGUCACAGUUAUCCCGUUUUACAUGGACAUGCGGGAAGCACAGAAUUCCAAUGUUUACUGGUGGCGGUAUUGUAUUCGUCUGGAGAAUCUGGGGAAUGAGGUGGUGCAGCUGAGAGAGAGACACUGGAGGAUUUUCAGUUUGUCUGGCACUUUAGAGCGCGUCAGGGGCAGAGGAGUCAUAGGACGGGAGCCAGUGUUGUCCGAAGAACAGUCUGCAUUCCAGUAUAGUAGUCAUGUCUCCUUGCAGGCCCCCAGCGGACAUAUGUGAACUUCUUAAACUACUUCAAAGAGUUCUCAUCAAAAAAUCCUCCAUGUGCAGCAAUGACAGCUUUGCAGAUCCUUGACAUUCUAGCUGUCAGUUUGUCCAGAUAUUCAGAAGUGGCUUUUUCUUUGCAGUUCUUCCCAUAAGGCCUGCACCCGAGUCUUCUCUUUACUGUUUACAUGAAACUGGUGUUGAGCAGGUAGAAUUCAAUGAAGCUGUCAGCUGAGGACAUGCGAGGCGUCUAUUUCUCAAACUAGAGACUCUGAUGUACUUAUCGUCUUGUUUAGUUGUACAUCUGGCCUUCCAUAUCUCUUUCUGUCCUUGUUAGAGCCAAUUGUCGUUUGUCUUUGAAGACUGUAGUGUACACGUUUGUAUGAAAUCUUCAGUUUUUCUGCAAUUUCAAGCAUUGUAUAACCUUCAUUCCUCAAAACAGUGAUUGACUGAUGAGUUUCUAGAGUUUCUUUUUUUGCCAUUUUUGACCUAAUAUUUACCUUAUGACAUGCCAGUCUAUUGCAUAUUGUGGCAACUCAAAAACAAACACAAAGACGUUAAGCUUCAUUUAACGAUCCAAAUAGCUUUCAGCAGUGUUUGAUAUAAUGGCAAGUGAUUUUAUAGUACCACAUUAGCAAUUUAGCAUGAUUACUCAAGGAUAAGGUGUUUGAGUAAUGGCUGCUGGAAAUGGGGCCUGUCUAGAUUUGAGCAAAAAUUACUUUUUUCAAAUAGUGAUGGUGCUGUUUUAUACAUCAGUAAUGUCCUGACUAUACUUUGUGAUCAGUUGAAUGAACUUUGGUGAAUUAAAAUACACAUUUCCUUCCGAAACAACAAAAUCUGUACAUUAUUCCAAUAUAUAUACACUACCGGUCAAAUGUUUUGAAACACUUGAUGUUUCUUAUGAUCUUAAAAAUCUUUUGAUCUGAAGGCAUAUGCUUAAAUGUUUGAAAUGAGUUUUGUAGACAAAAAUAUAAUUGUGCCAGCAUAUUAAUUUAUUUCAUUAUAAAACUAAAAUGUAAUAAAAAUAAAAACAUUUUUUUGAAAUUGAUGACUUGGAUCAAAUAAUAAAGAAAAGCAGCCAACAAGUGCCCAACAUAGAUGGGAACUCCUUCAAUACUGUUUAAAAAGCAUCCCAGGUUGAUACCUCAAGAAGUUGGUUGAGAAAAUGUCAAGAGUACAUGUCUGCAAAUUCUAGGCAAAGGGUGACUACUUUGAAGAUGCUAAAAUAUAACACAGUUUUGAUUUAUUUUGGAUUUUGUUUAGUUACAACAUAAUUCCCAUAGUUCCAUUUAUGUUAUUCCAUAGUUUUGAUGACUUUGAAAAUUAUAAUAAAGAAUAUGUCUUUCAAAACUUUUGACCGGUAGUGUGUGUGUGUGUGUGUGUGUGUGUGUGUGUGUGUGUGUACACACGCACACACACACCCACACACUAUAUAUAUUUAAGGAAAGAAGGUUGGGAACCACUUGUCUAUAGCAUGGGCCCGCUGGGAAGGAGGCGCUGGCUCUCUUACAGUGCAUAUCCUUGUGUCUCUGACCCCUUGCAGGGGCUCCUACCGGCUUGAGCGGACCAACGGUACCUUCUUCGAUGUGCGCAUCCCUCCCUUCUCUCUUGAGAGCAAGAAGGAUGAUACUCCCAACAACAUCCUGCCUGGCCCCUUCACUUCCCUGGCUUAAGAGCUCGGUGCUG